GGUCCCUUGGCCUAGUGGAUACGGCGCCGGUUUCCGGCACCGGAGGUCGUCGGUUCGACCCCGACAGGGAUCG
rfam:Batrachochytrium salamandrivorans strain BS supercont1.4248, whole genome shotgun sequence.